rnacentral:misc_RNA from 1 species
GAUGAAGAACGCAGCGAAAUGCGAUAAGUAAUGUGAAUUGCAGAAUUCAGUGAAUCAUCGAAUCUUUGAACGCACAUUGCGCCCCCUGGUAUUCCGGGGGGCAUGCCUAUUCGAGCGUCAUUUCACCACUCAAGCCUCGCUUGGUAUUGGGCAACGCGGUCCGCCGCGUGCCUCAAAUCGACCGGCUGGGUCUUCUGUCCCCUAAGCGUUGUGGAAACUAUUCGCUAAAGGGUGUUCGGGAGGCUACGCCGUAAAACAACCCCAUUUCUAAGGUUGACCUCGGAUCAGGUAGGGAUACCCGCUGAACUUAAGCAUAUCAAUAAGCGGAGGA